ensembl:lncRNA
CUUGUUUCUUCGUGUGUCCACAAGUUUGGUUGCUUACUAUUUUUUGUUUCUUCGUUUAUCCUCAAGUUCGGAUGUUUUGUGCGACUUCGCAUAUCAACAGUUGAACAGGUGAUGAGGUUUUCUGUAGUUUUGUUCCCAGAGGAAGAUGUCUGUGUGGCAGCAGUUCCACGCCAGGAUGGAGCAAGCACAGUACUUCAAGGCACCAGAGAGGUACUCCACGCUUUCCAACUGGGAUGCCACUGAUGAGGCUGUCCAGAACCAGGUCCCCAGCUACAACAUUGUUGUGUUUGGUGGUAUUGACUGUUUUUCCCGUAAGGUAAGCACAGUUGUUUGGAAUAAGAGUACACAUUUCUGUAAUCAUUAAAUACUUGAGUGUCUCAUAGCCGUGUAAUUGCAUUUGUGCUGCAGAUAAUGUAUCUUGGUGCAGCCUCCAAUAAUCUUCUUAGAAUCAGUUGAGAAGUUUGGUUUUCUUCUCAGGUAAAUGCAUAUUUUAAAAUUGGAGUUUUUACACUACAACAGUACAAGCAGUGGCAGAAAGUAACUAAGAACAUUUACUCAAGUAAUGUCCUUAAAGAUCACCUGCAGACAGGUUUUAAGACGUAUAUAAAUACUUUACUUUGAAUAAAAUUAAUUAAAAUUGGAUUUUCAACAAACUCAGAAACUUUCCACUGUAAGUCGAUGAAUGUGAAAACAGCCCUUUAGCGUCAAACUCUGAACAAGUAUCGAAUUCUGCAGAGUGAAACUUAACUGGCAACAAGAAGAAACACUAUUGUUUGAGUCGAGGGGGGCUUUUAAGUACAAAUUUGAGUUGGUUGUACUGUACAGUAGUUGAGUAUUUCCAUGUGAUGCUACUUUAUACUUCCACUCCACUACAUCUCAGAGGAAAUAUUUUAGUUCCUUUUCAGAUGAAGAUUUGACUCAAUGGAUAAUAUAACAAGCUUUUAAAAUACAACACAUUGUUAAAAAAGAAACCAUCGGUUUCCAACCUUUUUGUCCCUGGACUGGACUAAACUAGCUUACUGUAUAUAAAGUAGUGAAAAGUGGCUACUGGAGGUGGAGCUAGAACAGUAACAUGCUGCUCUAACACUGAUGCGUCACUGAUAACUAUCGAUUGCUGCUAGGACAUACUUAUGUAUAUUACUGCCAUUCUAGCCCUUGUUUAUUUUGUAUUGUAUUGUUUAUUUUGUACUUUCAUAUUCAAAUAGUGUAAUUUUACUAUCUGUUACUGGACAUGUUUUCU